rnacentral:rRNA from 1 species
CACGUAGGGGGCAAGCGUUGUCCGGAUUUAUUGGGCGUAAAGAGCUCGUAGGCGGUUCGGUAAGUCGGGUGUGAAACCUCCAGGCUCAACCUGGAGACGCCACCCGAUACUGCUGUGGCUAGAGUCCGGUAGGGGAGCGUGGAAUUCCUGGUGUAGCGGUGAAAUGCGCAGAUAUCAGGAGGAACACCAGCGGCGAAGGCGGCGCUCUGGGCCGGUACUGACGCUGAGGAGCGAAAGCGUGGGGAGCAAACAGG